rnacentral:tRNA from 2 species
GCGGAUAUGGUGGAAUUGGCAGACACGCUACUUUGAGGUGGUAGUGCCGCAAGGCGUGCAGGUUCAAGUCCUGCUAUCCGCACCA